rnacentral:tRNA from 1 species
GGAGUUGUGGCUCAGCAGUAGAGCACUUGCCUUGCACACGUGAGACCCUGAGUUCAAUCCUCAGCACCA